rnacentral:lncRNA from 1 species
CCCCGGCCCGCGGGGUCACUGCCUUCCGCAGCCUGGGGACGCGGGCCGGACUCCGCCACCUGUCGGCCCGUCGGGGCGCCCACUCCCACGUCCCGGGCACCCGCAGACACCCCUCACCCCCGGGCGACGCGCGGAGCCUCUACGGCUCGCGGAGGAGGCGGGGAUCCAGCCGCGCCGCCGAGGGGGACGGGCGCGCAAGUCCAGGGCGGGCGUCCCGGGAGCCCCUCACCUCCGAGGAGUUUCGGGGAGCGAAGCGCGGGACCGGGUGGGGGUGCCCAGGUGAGCCGAAGCCGCUGCGCGCUCUCCGGCAAACAACCCCACAUAAUUAGAAAGAACGGAGUGAAGCCAUGUGCCCUGGAAAUAUCUGACAUGGUUUGUGGCUUGGAGCAAAAGAAGAAAACUGAAGCCAGGCUAACUUCAAAAGGCAUCAUCCCCUUUAGAAUUACUGGUCUUUCUUCUAAUAUCUGGAAACAUCUCUAAACUGGCUCCUAAAGCCUCUUUUCUUCCACAGGCAAAUAGCUGGACAGAACUGCAAUGCCUCCCAAUUUAACCAGCUCUUAGCACUAUUUAGUUAUCCAGUGAUGCCAGUGCCAUUGAAAUAGUAUUCCAAUUUUUCCAACCUCCCUCUGGAAACUUCACAAACCAUUGUCAUUAUCAAAAUGGUGAAAAAGUGUCUUUGUCAAGAUGGAACAUUACACAAAUGGAGCACCCACAAAGCUCAUUAACACACCUGGUUUGACUGCCUUCCUGAAAACAGUCCAUGCAAUGGCAUGACUCAUUACUGUCUUCAUCAAGAGGAAUUGGGCUGUGCCAGCAAUUGUGGAAGGAGUCUUGUCUUCUGCUGACAACAGUCAUAACUCGAUCAAAGCCCAGUCCUGACUUCAGGCUUUUCAAGAAAUUUUGUCUAGAAAAAGGAUCAGAAUAGAAAGUUCUUCCUUAUCACAGAUAGUCCACUGACUUUUGAGCCAACAAAUCUUAAAGUUUGUGACUGAAUCCUAUGGGUGAAUGGGGGUGGGGAGAGACCUGCUCAGAAUAAUUUGGGAGCUCAUUCACAAUUUUGUUACACCACAGAUAUUUUUGAUCAUGAGACUAAGGUAAAUCUUUUGAUCCAAGAUCAUACAAAUGCCAUUAUGAAUGCUGCUAAAAGAAACCACAAUGCCUCAUAGCUGAGGCACCAUUUCAAAAAGUGGAGAUGUGAUAUAAAAUUUCAAAUGUGGAAGAAGGACUUUCUCUGGUGUGAAGCCUACUGAGUCUUACUAGUUUCUCUGCGAUCAGAAGUCUUCAAUACCUAAAAACACCACUGAAUUCUUUUGAAUGUUACUUCUGCUCAGGUGAAUUUAAAAUUUAACUUAAAUUCAUCAUCCUUUUUGGCUUACAAAAAAGCUUCACAGGCAUAUACCCCACCAAAAUGAUUCCAUUUCUAUACAAUGAUAAUGAUGAGCCAUGAAUUAACUCAGUCUUGGAGUGUGGACAUAUAAGAGCCCAUGUUUUUCUGCAUUCCCUACAACUGAAAAAAAAAACGAAGUCAACUAGAUGCCAUAGAUAAUAACCCAAAUUCUUGUUCAGAUUAAAAGCAAUCUUUAACUAUUUUACUAUUGAGAAAAAUUAAACUUUACUUUUAUUAUAUUGAUAUACUUGGAUCUAAUUCAAAUGAGUAAACAUAAUAUUUUAUGUAAUUAUUGUGAGUGUAUUUUAUUACUACAAGCAUAGUGCCUACUACAAGCUGGCACUAGCCAUUUCAUAUACUGCCUAUUUCAACCUUUUAAAUAAUCCCAUGAAAACCGAAUUAAUAUUACUUUCUUUCCACAGACCAGAAAAAGAAGGCAUGGAGAGAUUAAGUAACUUGUCCAGUAUUACACAGCUACUAUGUGAUAAUUCCAAAUAGCAUGUGCCUGUCUGAUUCUAGAGCCCAUCUUUAGAUUAUACAUUAAAGGAAUUAAUUUUCAAUGCAAAAGCAAACAUUGAAUGUAAACUGCUCAGAUUCUGCAUGCUGUUUUGUGAAAUUUGUUUGGGUUUCAUCAAAAUGUUAGGGCUUCAUAAUCAGAAAAACCUCAGAAUCACUGGACGAAAAAAACCCACAUAGUUUGGUUAAGGUGUCUGUCUCACUGCAUCACGGUGUCUGGCAUAUGGCAGAUGCUUCCUGUAUAAACAUUUGCCAAAUGGCACACAGUUAGGAUGAUUGAUCUAGACUACCAAGGGGAAAUUAGAUUAUUAGUCCACAAUGGAGGUAAGAAAGAAUAUGUUUGGAAUGCGGGAGAUCCCUUACAGCGUCUCCUAGUAUUCUCAUGGCCUAUUGUUAAGGUCAAUAGGAAGUGACAACAGCCCAAUCCAGGCAGGAUAACAAAUGGCCCAGAACCUUCAGAAAUGAAGGUAUAGGUCACCAUACUAGGUAAAGAACCAAGAACUGCUGAGGUGCUUGUUGAAGGCCACAGGUGUACAGAAUGGGUAGUACAAGACAGUAGUUAUAAAUUCCAGCUAUGACUAUGUGACCAGCUACAGUUAUGAGAUUGUAACUCUCAUGAGUAUUUCUUUCUGAUUUUAUUAAUAUACUCAUGCACAUAUACACAUGUAUUAAGUAAAUAUCUUUGUUUUCUUUUUUUUAACAUAACUGACUUAAUAUAAGUACUUAGGAAUUAUUACAUUAUACUACUUAAGUUAUGGAAUGUAAGGAAAAGAGUAAGCAUCACCCCCCCCCAAAAAAAACUUUGCCUUUUAUUCUCAGGAGGGAAUUGGUGCAUUUCUGUCUGUAUGCAAGCUAAUUGUAUCAUGUUAGGCAUAAUUAGGAACUUACUAUUGUAUUUGAAGAUUAAGUAUGGUUUAAGGAGAUGUGUCUGACUGUCAGUUUACAAGGGGUGGACUGUGACCAUUAAUUGGGAUACACUGACUUGACUUGAAUAAGACCCACCUAGCAGAUUACUGAAGCACAGUUCUGGGCGUGUUUGUGGAUAACUGACAAACUGAGGGGGAAGACCCACCCAGAAGACCAUGGGCACCAACCAAUAGUCUUACAGCCUGGAUGGCGUAACAGGGGAAAGAAGAAGAAAGUGUCCCCAUUUUGGAAGAGCUCCAGUCUUCAAUAUUGCUUUUGGAUAUCAAUCUCCAGUUUCCUCAGCCUUACAAUGGAGACUUACACCAGUGACUACAGUGAACUUCCAGGCCUUUGAUCUUGGGUUCCAUCUUCUUUGGCUGAGUAGUUAACUGGAUCCUCCAGCUCUCCAGCAUGCAGAGAACCAUAAUGGACUCUUCUGCCUCUGACUCUAUAAUCCUACUUUUAAUAACCCCCUUCUAUAAUUAUUCAUAUAUUUUAUUGAUUCCAUUCCUCUAGAGAAUGCAAACUAAUACAGUAUGUAUUUAUAUGAAUUUUUGUAUCAUUUUUAACACAAAGAAUAGAAUACUACUUGUUUUUUCACUCUAAAAAUAUAAAAUUUGGAGUUCUUUCCAUAUUGAUUCAUUUUUUAUUCAUUAAUUUGACAAGUUUUUAUUCAGUGCUUACCAUGUGCCAGGCACUUGCAAGUGGUGAAGAUACAGCAGUAGACAACAUACACAAAAUAUAUACUCCUGAAACUUAACACACUAGCAGAGAGUGCAGGAAAGACAGACAGAACCUCACUAAGCAGUGAAAUAUAUAUAGUAUAUCCAAUGAUGAUAAGUACUAUGCAGAAAAAUAAAGCUGGGAGAAAAGCUGAACAGCAGCUGUAGGGAUCUAAAUGAAAGAGGGGCUAGUGUACCCUGUAAUCCUAGUGCUCAGGAGACUGAGACAGAAGGAUUGCUGUGGAUUCGAGGCCAGCCUGGGCUACAUAGUGAGUCCCUGUCUCAAAAAAAUACAGCCAGAUAAAGUUUUUUUACUUUAUUUUAUUUUACCUUAUUUUUGAAGUACCAGAGGCCAAACUCAGGGUCUUUUUCACACUGAGCUACAUCACUAUUCCCUCUCCCCCUUUAAAACUUAUUUUUGAACCAGGAUAUUACUAAGUCUCUAAGUUGCCCAGGCUUGGCUCAAACUUGCAGUGUUCCUGCCUCAGUCUCCCAGAGUAAUCCCAACAAUUACAGGCAUGUGCUGCCAUGCCUGCCUCCAAUUUGGAUUUUUUCCAAUUCCAUUGAUGUAACUUCUAAUUUAUUCAACAUAUAUAUAUAAUGCCAGACACUGUUCUAUUCAUGUAUCAGUGCCACAUUUAACAAUGUUUUUACUUAUAAAAUAUAUUUUACCAUCUAAUUGAAAAAGUGCAUCUCAUUUUAUUUAUUUUUUUAGACUUUCCCUGCAUCUUGCAUUUGCUUGUUUCUCAUUUCAAUCUUAGAACCAGUUUACCUGGUUCUAAAAUAGGUCAUGUUUGUAUUUUUAUGGGAUUACACUAAAUUUACUUAGGGAGAAUUAAUAUCUUUGUCUUGUCCAGAAUAAGAGUAUCUUAAGUCAUUUGAUUUAUCUUUUCGAAAUUCCUUACUAGUGUUUUAAUAUUCUUCAUAAAAUUUUUCUCAUUUCCU